AUGGGUGGGCAUUGAAGGCAUACUCACGGUCAAGCCCUGGGGGCCCAGACCUUGAGCUGUGUAAGGGGCCCCCAAAAUGGCGCUGCUUCCUGUUCUACACCAAACCUGUGGAGCCAGACUGAGCCCAUCAUCAGCCUCUUGUCCUCAUCUGGUGGUAAGUAGGCAAUCCAAUAUAUUAUUAGUGGCACUAAUCUCUAAUUUACCUCACAUUAAAUGGAUACUAUAGUCACCAGAAGCACUA